rnacentral:rRNA from 1 species
AGAGUUUGAUCCUGGCUCAGGAUGAACGCUAGCUACAGGCUUAACACAUGCAAGUCGAGGGGAAACGACAUCGAAAGCUUGCUUUUGAUGGGCAUCGACCGGCGCACGGGUGAGUAACGCGUAUCCAACCUGCCCACCACUUGGGGAUAACCUUGCGAAAGUAAGACUAAUACCCAAUGACGUCUCUAGAAGACAUCUGAAAGAGAUUAAAGAUUUAUCGGUGAUGGAUGGGGAUGCGUCUGAUUAGCUUGUUGGCGGGGUAACGGCCACCAAGGCGACGAUCAGUAGGGGUUCUGAGGAGGAGGUCCCCCANAUUGGAACUGAGACACGGUCCAAACUCAUACGGGAGCA